rnacentral:rRNA from 1 species
UGGUGGGGAGUAGCCGGCUACGCCCGGGUAAUACCGCAUACGGUCCUUUGGGGGAGUCCCUAGGGGAAGAAAGCCCGUGGCAACACGGGCGCACGGGGAGGGGGUCGCGGCCUAUCAGCUUGUUGGCGGGGUAAUGGCCCACCAAGGCGACGACGGGUAGCUGGUCUGAGAGGAUGGCCAGCCACAUUGGGACUGAGAGACGGCCCAG